rnacentral:rRNA from 1 species
GUAAACGAUUAGAAUCGGGAAUCCGUCGCAGUCUAUAUGGACGCGACGGGCGCCCACCCCGAAAGGCAGAAUUUUGUGCUGAACGGGGGGAGUAUUCUUUGCAAAAGACAAACUUAAAGGAAUUGACGGAGGGGCACCACCAGGUGUGGAGCCUGCGGCUUAAUUUGACUCAACACGGGGAAACUCAUCCGGCCCGGACACCGCGAGGAUUGACAGGUCGCCGAUCUUUCUCGAUUUGGUGGGUGGUGGUGCAUGGCCGUUCUUAGUUGGUGGAGUGAUUUGUCUGGUUUAUUCCGAUAACGAACGAGACUCUGGCCUACUAACUAGCGCUUGAGCUCUUUGCUCAAUGUGCUUCUUAGAGGGACAAGCAGUGCUCAGCUGCGUGAGAAAGAGCAAUAACAGGUCUGUGAUGCCCUUAGAUGUUCGGAGCUGCACGCGCGCUACACUGAAGGAAGCAGCGUGUUAGAGUACCUGGUUCGUGAGAACUGGGUAAUCCGGUGAAUGUCCUUCGUGAUUGGGAUAGGCACUUGUAAUUAUUUGCCUUGAACGAGGAAUACCUAGUAAGUGCGAGUCAUCAGCUUGCGCUGACUACGUCCCUGCCCCUUGUACACACCGCCCGUCGCUGCCCGGAACUGAGCCGUUUCGAGAAAGCUGGGGACUGACGGCUUGCGGGUGCGCAAGCACUUCUAGCCGACGGAAACCAGUUUGAUCGGUACGGCUUGAACCGGGCAAAAGUCGUAACAAGGUUUCCGUAGGUGAACCUGCAGAAGGAUCA